rnacentral:tRNA from 1 species
CCGCGUGAGUUGGAGGAAGGCUUUAGGAUCAACUACUUAGUUUUGCGGCACCGGAUUGAAAAUCCCCGUGUCGGCGGUUCGAUUCCGUCCUCGGCCACCA